GUCCAGGAUGGGGGCCUUGCCUGUCUGGGUCUCAGGCCUCCUGACUCUCCAGAUGCUUCUCUUUGUGGCUGGGGAGCAGGGCCCGCAGCACACCACCGCAGCCGCAGCCACUGCCGAGAAGGGGCUCCACAUGCAGAAAGUGGGGUCUCGGUCAGUCCGGGCUGCACUGGCGGAGCUGGUGGCCCUGCCCUGUCUCUUUAGCCUGCGGCCACGGCCAGGUGCGACUCGAGAAGCCCCGCGGAUCAAGUGGACCAAAGUGCGGACUGCAUCAGGCCAGCGGCAGGACUUGCCCAUCCUGGUGGCCAAGGACAACGUGGUCCGAGUCGCCAAGGGCUGGCAGGGACGUGUGUCACUUCCCACCUACCCCCGGCACCGGGCCAACGCCACGUUGCUCCUGGGACCACUGAGGGCCAGCGACUCCGGGCUCUACCGCUGCCAGGUGGUGAGGGGCAUCGAGGAUGAGCAGGACCUGGUGCCCCUGGAGGUGACGGGUGUUGUGUUCCACUACCGAGCAGCCCUGGAUCGCUACUCUCUGACCUUUGCUGAGGCUCAGGAGGCCUGUCGUCUCAACUCAGCCACCAUUGCAGCCCCGCGGCACCUGCAGGCUGCCUUUGAGGACGGCUUUGACAACUGCGAUGCCGGGUGGCUCUCUGACCGCACUGUUCGAUAUCCUAUCACCCAGUCCCGUCCUGGUUGCUAUGGUGACCGUAGCAGCCUUCCGGGGGUGAGGAACUAUGGGAGGCGAGACCCACGGGAACUCUACGAUGUGUAUUGCUUUGCCCGUGAGCUGGGGGGCGAGGUCUUCUACGUAGGCCUGGCCCGCCGCCUGACACUGGCCGGCGCGCGUGCCCAGUGCCGACGCCAGGGCGCCGUGCUGGCCUCGGUAGGACAGCUGCACCUGGCCUGGCAUGAGGGCCUGGACCAGUGCGACCCGGGCUGGCUGGCCGACGGCAGCGUGCGCUACCCGAUCCAGACGCCGCGUCGGCGCUGCGGUGGCCCAGCCCCUGGCGUGCGCACCGUAUACCGCUUUGCCAACCGCACCGGCUUCCCGGCACCUGGAGAGCGCUUCGAUGCCUACUGCUUCAGAGCUCAUCACCCCACAUCCCAACAUGGAGACCCAGAGACCCCCUCAUCUGGAGAUGAGGGGGAGAUUCUGUCGGCAGAAGGGCCCCCCGCUGGGGAACUGGAGCCCAGUCUGCAGGAGGAGGAGGUAGUCGCCCCAGAUGUACAGGAGCCUCUCGUGUCUAGUGGGGAAGAAGAGUCUCUGAUCUUGGCAGAGAAGCAGGAGUCUCAAGCGACCCCCAGUCGUGCCCCUGGGGUCCCCACAUUAGCCUCAAGUCCUGCCCUGGAGGCUGAGGAGGUGUGGCUGAGCACAGUGGCCCCCAGCCACAGCAGCGUGGAGGCAGGCACUGUUGUGGGCACGCACACAGACACAGCCCCGGCCAGCACCACGCCCAGGAAGAGGGAGCGCUUUAAAGGGUUGAACGGGCGCCACUUCCAGCAACAGGAACCCCAGCAAGGGCUGAAGGGUGCACUCGAGGCCAGCAUCCAGCCCCCCACCCCAGAGGCUGCUGGGAAUUAUGUGGAGCCUCCCAUGACCACUGGAGCCACAGACGCCUUGGGGAGCGGCCAGAGCCAAAGCCCCUGGGCUGUGCUGACAAAUGAGGUGGAAAUGCCCAGAGCUGGUUCCCUUGGUGGCAGGAGCCCCCAAGAGCCCUGGCUGUGGCCCCCAACCGUGGUCCCACCCAUCAUCCCAGACCCCAGCAGAGCUCUUGGCCUGGAACUAGAAGAAGCCAAGCGCUUUAGUAUGCGACCAGUCACUUCCGACCUGCCCUGGUCCCCCUCGGAGACCACUCCCAACCCAUCCAGUGGCCCCAGCCCUGCUCCCUGGGAGGCUUCUCCCGCGCUCAUUUCUCCAGACCUCCCUGUCGCGGCCAUGCUUCGUGCCCCCAAACUGUGGCUCCUCUCACAGGCGCCUCCUACACCCCUCCCCACUGAGGCCAGUGGGGUCAAGGGGCAGAGUGAGGCCUUGGCCACUGCCCUGCCCUCCUCUGCUUCAGAAAUCGAAGCCAGCCCGCAGGAUCCCAUCCAUCCGGAAGUGUACUCCCUGCCCUCCUCCUCGGGCCUUGCAGGACAAGACAGAGGGUCCACAUCCCUGUCACUCAGCAGCCACAGAGGAGGAGGUCCUCCGGCCCCUUCACAGGCAGCCACAGACACACAAGCUGGAGCCAGUCCCAGCUCCCCUGGAACAGACUUUGGAAACACUAGGGGGGCCAGCCCUACUGAGCUCAGCAAAGCUGAGCAUCCCGGAUCCAGCCCACAGGCCUCUGUGGACGGGAGUGUGGUAGCAGAUGUCAUUAUUUCUGAGACUGCCACUGAGCCCAUGGGAGCCGGAGGCAUCUCGGAGUCUGAGCCUGGGGUCCUCAACACAGCGGAGAGCCCUACUUCCAGCUUGCAGGCCUCCAUUGUCAAGACGCAGGGAAUAUGGGCCUCGCUGCACAGGGAAGGGCUGGACCCCCACUCCCCAUCUGCACCCUUGGGGGUCCCUGAAGUCUCCUUGAUGCCGAAGGUCACCCCACGUUUGGGGCCUUGGGCUGCUACCGAGGGAGGAGUCACGGUGGAUCCUAUGGACCCCACAGUCACGCUGGGCACCAGCGACGCUGGUGGGCAUUGGGAACCUGGAUCCCACAUGGUGGAGGGAGCAGAAAGCCCCACCUUGAGCCCUCAGAUGGCUGUGGAUGCAAGUGUGGUGACACCCCUCACGUCUUUGGACCUGGGGGACAAGGUCGGGGUCCUGGCCGUGUUCACAGUGGCCUCCUCAGGCUCCCAGCCCCACCCAGAGCCAAAGGGCCAGCUGGUGACCCAGGGAACCCUGGGAGCCUUGGAGCCUCCACAGGAGGGCAGCCGCUCAGGGGACCCCAUUCUUCCUCCUUGGACGCCGACAGCAGCCAACAAGGACGAGCCCAUUUCAGUUUCCUCGGGGGAGCCUACAGUGCCGUGGGACUCCCCCAGCACCCUCCUGCCUGCCUCCCUGGGCCCAGAGGAAUUUGAGCUGGAGGUCCUGAUGGGGAGCCCAGGUGUGGAGAGCUUCUGGGAGGAGGCAGCAAGUGGAGAGGAGCCCGCCCUGCCAGGGACUCCUGCAAAUGGGAGUGCGGAGGAGGUCCCCUUGGAUCCCUGUGAGAACAACCCUUGCCUGCAUGGGGGCACCUGUAGAGCCAAUGGCACCGUGUAUGGCUGCAGCUGUGACCAGGGGUUCGCUGGAGAGAACUGUGAGAUUGACAUUGACGAUUGCAUCUCUAGCCCCUGUGAGAACGGUGGCACCUGCAUCGACGAGGUCAACGCCUUCAUCUGCCUUUGCCUCCCCAGCUAUGGGGGAAGCCUCUGCGAGAAAGAUACAGAGGGCUGUGACCACGGCUGGCACAAGUUUCUGGGCCACUGCUACCGCUACUUUGCGCACCGGAGGGCGUGGGAGGACGCCGAGAGGGACUGCCGCCGCCGAGCCGGCCACCUAACCAGCAUCCACUCACCAGAAGAACACAACUUCAUUAACAGUUUUGGGCGUGAAAACACAUGGAUCGGCUUGAAUGACAGGAUCGUGGAAAGGGAUUUCCAGUGGACGGACAACACGGGGCUGCAAUAUGAGAACUGGCGGGAAAAUCAGCCGGACAAUUUCUUCGCGGGUGGGGAGGACUGCGUGGUGAUGGUUGCACACGAGAGCGGGCGCUGGAACGACGUUCCCUGCAACUACAACCUUCCCUAUGUCUGUAAGAAGGGCACAGUGCUGUGUGGUCCCCCUCCAGCAGUGGAGAACGCCUCGCCCAUUGGCGCCCGCAAAGCCAAGUAUAACGUCCAUGCCACAGUGCGCUACCAGUGUGAUGAAGGAUUUGCCCAGCACCAUGUGGCCGUCAUCCGGUGCCGGAGCAAUGGCAAGUGGGACCGGCCCCAAAUCGUCUGCACCAAACCCAGACGGUCCCAUAGGAUGCGGCGACACCACCAUCACCACCAGCAUCACCACCAGCAUCGCCACCACAAAUCUCGCAAGGAGCGCAGAAAACACAAGAAGCACCCAGCAGAGGACUGGGAGAAGGAAGAAGGGAAUUUCUGUUGA
rnacentral:lncRNA from 1 species